CGAAAGAUGGGUUCUUUGGGGGUCACGGCGGCGCCCUUCACCUACGCGGCGCACCUCCUGGCGGUGGCGGCGGCGGUGCUGGUGCUCGUCUGGAACAUCCACUUCCGCGGCGGCCUCGCGUUUGAAUCCAUCAACAAAAAUCUCAUCUUUAACCUUCAUCCAAUUCUCAUGCUCAUUGGAUUUAUUAUCCUUGGGGGUGAAGCUAUAAUGAGCUAUAAAGUUCUGCCUUGGAGUAAAGAAGUGAAGAAACUGAUUCAUCUGGUUCUUCAUGCUAUUGCUCUUGUCCUUGGUAUUGUGGGAAUUUAUGCUGCCUUCAAGUUUCACAAUGAGAGUGGGAUUGUCAAUCUUUACAGCUUGCAUUCUUGGGUUGGGCUUGGAACAAUCUGUCUAUACGGUGUUCAGUG
rnacentral:misc_RNA from 1 species